rnacentral:rRNA from 1 species
UGGGAACCUUCCCUAUGGUUCGGAAUAGCCCAGGGAAACUUGGGGUAAUACCGAAUAAGCCCUUCGGGGGAAAGAUUUAUCGCCAUUGGAUGGGCCCGCGUCGGAUUAGCUAGUUGGUGAGGUAACGGCUCACCAAGGCAACGAUCCGUAGCUGGUCUGAGAGGAUGAUCAGCCACACUGGGACUGAGACACGGCCCAGACUCCUACGGGAGGCAG